rnacentral:rRNA from 1 species
GUGCCAGCCGCCGCGGUAAUACGAGGGGGGCAAGCGUUGUUCGGAAUUAUUGGGCGUAAAGGGUGCGUAGGCGGUUUUGUAAGUCUUGUGUGAAAUCUUCAGGCUCAACUUGAAGACUGCACGAGAAACUGCAGGGCUUGAGUGUGGGAGAGGUGAGUGGAAUUCCUGGUGUAGCGGUGAAAUGCGUAGAUAUCAGGAGGAACACCUGUGGCGAAAGCGGCUCACUGGACCACAACUGACGCUGAUGCACGAAAGCUAGGGGAGCAAACAGGAUUAGAUACCCGCGUAGUCC